rnacentral:misc_RNA from 1 species
GAAGUAAAAGUCGUAACAAGGUUUCCGUAGGUGAACCUGCGGAAGGAUCAUUACCGAGUGAGGGCCCUUUGGGUCCAACCUCCCACCCGUGUUUAUUUACCUCGUUGCUUCGGCGGGCCCGCCUUAACUGGCCGCCGGGGGGCUCACGCCCCCGGGCCCGCGCCCGCCGAAGACACCCCCGAACUCUGCCUGAAGAUUGUCGUCUGAGUGAAAAUAUAAAUUAUUUAAAACUUUCAACAACGGAUCUCUUGGUUCCGGCAUCGAUGAAGAACGCAGCGAAAUGCGAUACGUAAUGUGAAUUGCAAAUUCAGUGAAUCAUCGAGUCUUUGAACGCACAUUGCGCCCCCUGGUAUUCCGGGGGGCAUGCCUGUCCGAGCGUCAUUGCUGCCCUCAAGCCCGGCUUGUGUGUUGGGCCCCGUCCUCCGAUUCCGGGGGACGGGCCCGAAAGGCAGCGGCGGCACCGCGUCCGGUCCUCGAGCGUAUGGGGCUUUGUCACCCGCUCUGUAGGCCCGGCCGGCGCUUGCCGAUCAACCCAAAUUUUUAUCCAGGUUGACCUCGGAUCAGGUAGGGAUACCCGCUGAACUUAAGCAUAUCAAUAAGCGGAGGAAAAGAAACCAACAGGGAUUGCCCCAGUAACGGCGAGUGAAGCGGC